AUUGAACGCUGGCGGCAUGCCUUACACAUGCAAGUCGAACGGCAGCAUGAUCUAGCUUGCUAGAUUGAUGGCGAGUGGCGAACGGGUGAGUAAUACAUCGGAACGUGCCCUGUAGUGGGGGAUAACUAGUCGAAAGAUUAGCUAAUACCGCAUACGACCUGAGGGUGAAAGUGGGGGACCGCAAGGCCUCAUGCUAUAGGAGCGGCCGAUGUCUGAUUAGUGAGUUGGUGAGGUAAAGGCUCACCAAGGCGACGAUCAGUAGCUGGUCUGAGAGGACGAUCAGCCACACUGGGACUGAGACACGGCCCAGACACCUACGGGAGGCAGCAGUGGGGAAUUUUGGACAAUGGGCGAAAGCCUGAUCCAGCAACGCCGCGUGGGUGAAGAAGGCCUUCGGGUUGUAAAGCACUUUUGUCCGGAAAGAAAUGGCUCUGGUUAAUACCUGGGGUCGAUGACGGUACCGGAAGAAUAAGGACCGGCUAACUACGU
rnacentral:rRNA from 1 species